UACGUAGGGUGCAAGCGUUGUCCGGAAUUAUUGGGCGUAAAGGGCUCGUAGGCGGUCCGUCACGUCGGGAGUGAAAACUUGGGGCUUAACCCCAAGCCUGCUUCCGAUACGGGCGGACUAGAGGUAGGCAGGGGAGAACGGAAUUCCUGGUGUAGCGGUGAAAUGCGCAGAUAUCAGGAGGAACACCGGUGGCGAAGGCGGUUCUCUGGACGGUGACUGACGCUGAGACGCGAAAGCGUGGGGAGCAAACAGG
rnacentral:rRNA from 1 species